CCUACGGGAGGCAGCAGUGGGGAAUCUUGCGCAAUGGGCGAAAGCCUGACGCAGCGACGCCGCGUGCGGGAAGAAGGCCUUCGGGUUGUAAACCGCUUUCAGGAGGGACGAAGCCACUCGGGUGAAUAGCCCAGAGGGUGACGGUACUUCCAGAAGAAGCCCCGGCUAACUACGUGCCAGCAGCCGCGGUAAUACGUAGGGGGCUAGCGUUGUCCGGAUUUAUUGGGCGUAAAGAGCGUGUAGGCGGCCAGAUAGGUCCGCUGUGAAAACUCGAGGCUCAACCUCGAGCUGUCGGUGGAAACCAUCUGGCUAGAGUCCGGAAGAGGAGAGUGGAAUUCCCGGUGUAGCGGUGAAAUGCGCAGAUAUCGGGAAGAACACCUGUGGCGAAGGCGGCUCUCUGGGACGGUACUGACGCUGAGACGCGAAAGCGUGGGGAGCGAACAGGAUUAGAUACCCUGGUAGUCCACGCCGUAAACGAUGGGUGCUAGGUGUGGGGAGUGUCGACUCUCUCCGUGCCGAAGCUAACGCAUUAAGCACCCCGCCUGGGGAGUACGGCCGCAAGGCUAAAACUCAAAGGAAUUGACGG
rnacentral:rRNA from 1 species